UUCCGCAGCUACAACACUGUCCGACCAGCAGAAAGCCCUGGCAGAGUUGCAACUGUUGGAGACGUCUAUAACAAUGACAGCAGAUAAGCCCGUAAAUAUGCACAUUGGGAACCAGUCAAUUUUUGUCUACUGCAACAAGUGCGACUACAAUAUUGUGGGCGAUGAAACUAUGCAGCUUUUGCGCGCUUUCCCCAUUAAAGCAAGUGUUCCUCGCUUCGAAAUUGUUUCCGAAAGGUUUGAGGAUCCACAUUAUUUACCUGUUUUAUACGAUCGACUGGACACUAUUGAUAUCAACAUUGCAACUGAUCUCGGAGAAGCGGCAAUUUUUCAGACUGGAAAGUCAAUGGUAAAGCUGCAUUUCCGCCCCAUUCAGUAUUACUAUCGCUAAAAAAUGCCCGUAAUCCUCUUUGAGCCGUCACCAUCGUUCUAUCUGGAUUUAUUUGCGGGGGCCGCCACGGGCGCUAGUAGCCAGCACGGCUAUGGAGCCGUCAUGACACGCUAUCGCGGGAGUUUAAUGCAAAAUGGCAGCGGAUUUAUGCUACCUAAUUUCCUGCGCGCAAUGUUUAGUAAAUUAGCGCAUUUUGCUGCCCCGGUUAUUAAAGCAGCGGCACCACAUGCCAGAGCAGCAAUGGAAGCAGCAAAGCCCCACUUACGCGACGCAGCGACAACAGCUUUAAGUGAAACAUCCAAGAAGGUAGGAGAGAAAAUUUCGGAAGCGUUAACUGCGCAACCUCAACAGCAAGGAGGCAUCAAACGGCUCAAGCAGCAGCACAAGAGGACAAAAAAGAUAAAGAAACCUUCCUUCCGACUUAAACGGCUUAAACGGAUUCCCCCAAGAGAAUUUGAGGACGCAUUUUAAAAUGGCUUUUAUUUUGGAAGGAAGCGUGCCAGCUAUGCAGGUCGAGUCGGAUUUAUUCUCCGUUCCGGCCACUCUAGCGGAUUUUGUGCGGACAGAAGAAGAACGCAUUCUACCAACAUCAGGGCAAACAGAAGAAAUUAGUUCUGGAGAAAUUUCCUUUUACAUUCCCCCUUCAACGUCGGCGCUGCUAGUGCUACCGGAAAUUACGCUAGAAAUGGAUAUUGCAAUCAAAAAGCAAAUUGCAGGACUUGGUGCGGCUACGCAUAUUGAAAACACGGAUCUGGUAGCACCAGUGAACUUGAUUGCGCAUUCUAUAUUCAGCUCGGUAGAGGUAACAAUGGCCAACCGCCUGAUAACUAAUUCCACCCCAUUAUAUGCCUACCGAGCGUACUUGGAAAAUUUGUUGGGGUACACACCGGCUGCCCUAAAAAGCCAGGCAACAAGUGCUGGAUUUUAUAUAGACACUCCCGGGUACCUAGAAGAUCAUGCCAAUAACGCUGGAGAAGUAACGCGAAAAGCUAUGUUUGUGACCAACGAGUACGUCCCGUUCAGCGCCAAAUUAUGUACGGACAUUUUUCAGCAGGGAAAAAUUUGAUCACCGGUGUACCGCUACAUGUGCGCCUCAUUUUGAAUAAGCCGGAAUUCUACCUGCGUUCAUAUGCCAAUCUUCCAGUGGAUACCUUUAAAGCAUACAUUCGCAAUCCGCGGUUGUACGUCAAACGCUUUGUGCCUAAUCCGGCAUAUUUGUCUGCGCUUACUGCCCAAUUAUCGACAAAGACUGUGAAAUACCCUAUUGAGCGAGUGUGUAUGCGUGUUAAUGAUAUUGGUAUGAUUCAGAGCACAGUGCUGGCUAAUUUACAUAUUGGAGCAGUACCCAAAUGUGUUUUUGUGGGAUUUGUAAAAAGCUCGAGUUUUCACGGGCUGCGCCGAGGUAAUCCGUUUAACUUUGAACAUUUCAAUCUCAACUAUAUAAGUGUCGAAGUCGACGGACAGUCGUAUCCCGCACAAGCCUACCGACCAAAUUUCGCCACGGGUGAUUAUUUGCAAUCAUAUGACGGUCUGUUGGAGACGCUUUGCCGCUUGCACGCACCGGACGGGGCGCUGCCUUUCGACCGUAAAGCAUUUGCGGAAGGAUUUGCUAUUUGGGGAUUCGAUCUGACACCUUCACGGACAGGCCGGGGACCGAUGAGCACCGUGCGCCAAGGAAAUCUAUCAAUCCGCCUGCAGUUCGCCGCCCAAUUAACUGAACCAAUUAUGGCCAUUACGAUGAUGGUGUGGGAUAAUAUUAUUGAAGUCAAUUCACAUCGCCAGCUAAUUGCGGAUUUUACAGCGUAAAAACCUAACAUUUUAUUUUGAAUGCAGAUCGGCACUAAAAUGGACACUGCUGAAAUCGACCACGUGCUACGUUCAAGUACCGUGACGAAAGACGCUUUUAUUGGUGUAUUUGCUGCGGACAUGUUACCACCGUCCCUGCCAAUGAAGCUGCCAUGGGCAUGCGUUGUCAAUACUGACGAAGCUGCAAAGCCAGGCUCGCAUUGGUUGGCGUUCUACCAGGACGUCCCGGGAAAAUUGGAAUAUUUUGACUCUUAUGGUCACGAACCGAGAUUUUACGGCAUCCAUAUUGAAAGUUUUUGCAAGAACGCCGAGUUAGUUAUUUCGCAAGCGCAUCGUUUACAAAUGGAAUGGAGUACCGUGUGCGGACAGUACUGCUGCUUUUUUAUUCUAAAACGAUGCUCCGGCGAGUCAUUUACCUCUCUUAUUCAUUUGUUCACCAAUAGCAAAUCGUCGAAUGAUCGAAUGGUUUGUGCUUAUAUUAAUCAUUAUUUUGAUUUGAACACUGUAAUUCGUGAUCGCUCUAUGAUAAUUCAGUCUGUUUUCCGUCAAAUAAUGCAAUAAAAUCUGGCCAUCCAAACCCUUACGUAUGAGUGUAGGUGUAGUUACUUUGUACCGCAACAAAUUGCAGUGCAACAAAAUAUUACACUACAGCAACAUUGCGCUGCCAUGUGGAUGUUUUGUUUCGAAAUAUAACAGGACAUCGCAUUUUGUACUCGUGGUCUUGCCAAAAACAUGUGCUUCAUAGCAGUUUUUCCUUACUGCAUCUAUUUCUAUUUGGCGAAGCAGAAUGGUUUUUCGAAUUGUUGUGGACAUCAAAUGGUAUAAUCGUAAUGAGAAGUCAAUUAUAACGGAACUGGCAAUUAGUUCUGUUGAUUUCCAUUGUCUAUAUUACACCCGAUUUUUGCUUCCUCCGGAUAAUUACAUUGUUAGCAAGUACGGCAUCAGUUCCACGAAUGUCGAUGAAAUAUUUGUUAAAGCUUUCUCGGACCUGGAGAUUCAGAUAAAUCGAGCGUUCAGAAACUAUCUGCAAAACGUUAAAGACCCCCUAAGCGUUGUUUUCUAUGCGAAAGGUUCAGAAAAGUGCGGUAUUAUCCAGGAUUUAUUAAAAUCUGAUUGCAUCAACUUGGACUCGUUAGGCUGCCCGCGCUUUUCCGAUUUAUGCAAUGACAGAUGCUACAGUCCCAACAAAGCACAGGCUUACUCAAACUGGAUGCUGACUCAGUAUCUAAAAGUUCCAAAAAAUGCUUGCUUUGCCGCAUGCCGAUCCCCGACACUGGCGUUCGUCAUCAUCGACGAUGGCGCAGUCGAAUUUCAAGACCAGAUCUAAAUUACUAUUCGGGUACGUGCUCAAAUUUUGAUGUUCUUUUUUAAAACAUUUCUGACAAGGUUUACGAAAUUGCAGAUGAACAGGGUAACAGGUGCUGCAUCCGUUGUGGAGCUGUAUUCAUUUCCGGUGAGGACCGCACUGAACAAAAAAGGAUCGCGGAUAUUAACAUGCCUGACAUUUUUAGCGCAUGAAUCAUUGAGCGAUCUGUUUGGAAAUUCAGAUGACAACAAAAAUGCUGUAGCGGAAUUUAUUCAUAUAUAAUCUGAGUAUCUUGGGUGCAUCUUUGAGACUAGUAAAAUCACGUUGCCGGAGCUCGUCUUUACGAUGACGCAAGUACCUGAUCGUGUACAGGGCAACUCUAACGCCUGUACUAGUAACCCACAGUUUGCUGAUACCGCACUUUUCAAUCAUGAUUAUGCUCUUCUUGAUCAUAAUUAUACUGUACCACGAGCUGAUCUGCCAGCUUUGAAUAUAGCUGACGAAGUCGAUCCAGACUUGAAUGACAUUAAAGAUUAUUAUGUGCUCGAAAAUAUCGGAGCAAAAUAUUCCCAGAAAUUUUCAGUUUCGUUCGAAACUUACAAAUGUACAGUGACGGGGCUGGAUAAUCUAUCGUUCAAGUAUGCUGUUAAAACGAUAACACUCGUUUUGAAAGAUAUUCUGGAGAGUGUGAUUGCUGCGAUUCCAGCGCAUAACCUGGUGCGAAUCCGCAUGUAUCAAAAUGCUCUGCAGUAUCCAAUUUGGAUGCCACCUAUUCGGCGGGACCAAAUAACAAUUGAACGGUGGAUGACGACAAUAAGGCGGAUUCUAAACUCUAAUCAGGCUUUUCUGCUAGACGAAUCAUUUGAACUGUCAGUCCAGCACACUGAUUUGCCAUCCGGAUCAUGCAGAAAAAAUGUAUCAAAAUUGUUGCAGCGGAUUUUAGACAACAAAAGAUGUAUUACCCAGAUUCGAAAUACGGACUGUUUGUGUAUGGCCAGGGCUAUAGUUGUGGCACAAGCGCAUGCAGAUGGCGACAAAGAGCUGUACACAAAGCUUUACCGAACCAAAAAGUUGCAAGACCAGAAGACAAAAGAAUUAUUGUUGACUGCCAACCUGCCAAACAGAGAAUUCAACGUGCAAGAUAUUCCCCGCUUUGAAGAAGUUUUACCGAAUUAUCAGUUUAUUGUGGUAUCUGUGGAUCAUGGAAAUUCUAUCGUCUACUGCGGCGCCUACUGCGAAAAGCGAAUUAUGCUGCUGCAUCACGAUCAACAUUUUGAUGUUUUAACAUCUUUACCGGCCUAUUUUGAGCACCACUAUUACUGUUACCGUUGCAUGAAAGGCUACGAUCAAAGACAGUAUCACCGCUGCGAGUUCAAGUGCCACCAGUGUUUGUCUGCAACUUGCAAAAUGAAUAAGCAAGAAACCAUACACUGUCUGGACUGUAACCGCGAUUUCUAUGGGCAAGAUUGUUUUGACAGACACCAAGCUGGGAGCAGCACCAUCUGCGCAAAUUUUUUCAUUUGCCGUGAGUGUAAAACCUUUGUCUCUAUGGUAAAUCGCCGUAUGAAGACCAAUUACGAUACAAUUCAUGGUGAGGACAAUGACCAGGACCACGAUAUUGCUGAGGAAAUCGAACUAGAUGUUGACGAUCAGCAACAUCGAUGUGGUGAGGUUUUUUGUGCGACUUGCUCGUUAUUCUAUAUGCCGGAGAAAAACCAUGUGUGUUAUAUGAAACCCGUGGAAUUUACGGAUAAAGAAAAGGCCAAGCACCAUAACGACAAGCUGGCAUACUUUGACCUGGAAACAUAUCAAGACGAGAGUGGAGAAUUUAAAGUCAACCUAGCGGUGAUCGCGACAAAAAAUGAAAAAUUUAUUCUUCCAGAAAACGGUAAUAUUAACGGCGACAUUUCACAAGAACUUGGCGAUUUCAUUUUCAGUGAGCGUUUCCGUGGCUACACAUUUAUGGCGCACAAUUUGAAGGGAUUUGAUGGAUACUUCAUUUUGAAUUAUCUCGUGAAAAACGGCGUUAUUCCACGUCCGCUUAUUUUCAACGGGAGCAAGGUUAUGCAGAUGGACGUGCCCAAACUCAAAAUAAAAUUUCGUGACUCUAUGAACUAUGUACCAUCAUCGUUAAAAAAUUUUGCGAAAGCAUUUGGUUUGCAAGAAACCAAAGGAGAUUUCCCACACAAACUUAAUAAGCCUGAAAACUGGAAUAAAAUAAUUGCUUGGCCCGAUCGUCAUGACUAUGGCUAUCAGUCUAUGAAAAAGAAAGAACGAAAGCGCUUCAUGAAAUGGUACCGCAAAGAGCGACGCCGUCACAGGAACAAAUUCGACUUUAAUGCACACUUUAUCAAGUAUUGCUCACAAGAUGUCCUCAUUUUGCAACAAGCGUGCGAAAAAUUUCGAGCGCUUUUCCAACAGGUAACCGAUGGAUUAUGCCCAUUUGCGUCUGGACUAACCACACCCGGCAUGUGCAAUUACUUUUGGAGAGCGCGAAUGCUGAAGGAAAACCAAAUUGCGUUGAUCGGCCCUCCUGGUCAGGGCAAAAAAGUCAUCUGUCAAAGGAGAGCGUUGGCUACGCUGGAUUGAAAUGGAAAAUGAUGUAAAAUUGCAAAAAAGAGCAUCGAAUCGGUCACUGGACUGUGGAUGGUUUUGAUCGGGAUACAAAAACCGCUUACGAGUUUUUAGGAUGUAUGUGGCACGGCUGCAGCGAAUGCACAACAAAAAGCACGCUGCAUCCCUUUCUGAAACGGCCAAUGGAGGAAGUCAACAAAGCAACUGCCUUACGCCUUGAAGCUAUCAAAACUAUGGGCUAUUCCGUAGUUUCGAUCUGGGAACACGACUAUGAUAGCCGGCUCACUACUGACCUGGAAUUUCAGAAAAUAAUUCAGUUGACCGGUAUUGAAGAACCUAUGCACCCCCGAGACGCAUUUACUGGUGGCAGGACAAACGCUAUCAAGUUGUACCACAAGUGCGAUCCUGGAGAAAAAAUCUAUUCGCUCGACGUUAUCAGCGAAUACCCUUAUAUUAACAAAAUCUACCUUAUCCGGUGGGACCGCCUGUUAUCAUUACUAAAGAUUUUCCGCCUGUGGAGAGUAUUUUUGGAAUAAUUAAAUGUCGCGUCAUUCCUCCACCGUCGUUGUUUUUACCGGUGCUACCUUACAAAACUGAUAAACUGACUUUUCCUUUAUGCGCUAAAUGCGUGACGGAACGCGUAAACGAACCAUGUUCUCACGAUGAUGAGGACAGGGCUCUGGAAGGAACUUGGUGCACUCCAGAAAUUCAUCGAGCAUUAGAAGUUGGCUAUCGUAUCGAUAAAAUAUACUCGGCUUGGCACUAUCCAGAACAAAUGCAGUAUUUAUUCAGAGAAUACAUUGACCUGUUUUUGAAGCUGAAAACGGAAGCUUCUGGAUAUCCACCACAGUGUCAAACGGAAGAUGAAAAAGACAGAUAUAUUCAAGAAUUCCUUGCUAAAGAAAAUAUUCUACUGGAUAAAAAGAAUAUUGCGAAAAACGACGCAUUGAGAGCUCUUUGCAAGCUUAUGCUAAAUAGUUUUUGGGGAAAAUUUGGUCAACAGGAAGACCGAUCCAACACGGAUAUGGUGGAAAAGAAAGAGGUAUUCCAUGAUUACUUGUUUUCUAACAAGUACGAAGUCGCCGGGUUCGAUUUGGUCACCGAUGAAGUUAUGGCAGUUCAAUACCGCUCCAAGAAGGACUACAUUGCGACGAGCAAAAAGACCAAUGUUGUUAUCGCAGCUUUUACGACUGCGUACGCACGGCUACACUUAUUAAAAUUCAUGGAAAUGGUUGGAGACCGUUUGUUAUACCACGAUACAGACAGCAUUUUCUACAUCCAUAGAGACGAUUUGCCCGAUCCACCAACGGGAACGUGCUUGGGUGAUUUGUCCUCGUCUUUACAGCCUGACGAGUACAUUGACGAAUUUGUAGCGCUUGGUAAAAGAAUAAUUAUCUAGAUAAUAAUAUGCGAGCAACUUAAAAUGUUAAUUCUU